UGGGGAAUCUUGGACAAUGGGCGCAAGCCUGAUCCAGCCAUGCCGCGUGAGUGAAGAAGGCCUUAGGGUUGUAAAGCUCUUUUACCAGGGAAGAUAAUGACGGUACCUGGAGAAUAAGCCCCGGCAAACUUCGUGCCAGCAGCCGCGGUAAUACGAAGGGGGCUAGCGUUGUUCGGAUUUACUGGGCGUAAAGCGCACGUAGGCGGUCCGCUAAGUCGGGGGUGAAAUCCUGGGGCUCAACCUCAGAAUUGCCUUCGAUACUGGCGGUCUAGAGGCCGGAAGAGGUUAGUGGAAUUCCCAGUGUAGAGGUGAAAUUCGUAGAUAUUGGGAAGAACACCAGUGGCGAAGGCGGCUAACUGGUCCGGUACUGACGCUGAGGUGCGAAAGCGUGGGGAGCAAA
rnacentral:rRNA from 1 species